UGUGACAGAUGAAGGCGAUCGGUAUGUUCUUCCUCAGGACUGGUGGCGUGAGUUGGUGUUAGUUUUGGCACUGGUGCUGACUGUGACUGAUGUGUACAGGGGUACAAGUGAUGAGAUUGUGCGAACUUCUCUGGCAUCGCUGGACUGUACGAUGACUUGAGCUGCUCUCACCACAUGUGUCCUGAGUGAUGUGAUUGGUGUGUCCGUAGCUACUGAUGAUGCCAAGAAACUCUCAACAAGCUAAAAUGGAUGUGAAAACCUCUGAAACCAGCCAAGAACUUACAGAAACCAGCAAUUAAUCUGGAUUGGUGCCAAAUCCAUCUAAAUGGGUUAGAACGGACUUCUGUGUAGCAAAUCAGAUAUUAUGUUGUA